GAAGACUGAAAAAUUCCAUAUCAGAGUUUAUUGAUUCUAAAGAUCAGAAUUUCUUUAAGACAGGCAUCUAUGCAUUAAAAUCUCGUUGAGAAAAGUGUAUCGAAACAAAUGAAGCAUAUUUUGAUUAAAUAAACAGCUUUUGAAAAAAGAUGUAGUUUUAUAUAUUCACUUAAAAAUCUGACAUUUCAUACGCACCAACCUAAUAUAAAUAUUUUUUAUAUUAUAAAUAUUAUAAAUAUAUUAUAAAAUUUUGAUUCUUUACCUCACACUUUCUUAAAAAAAUGGAUUACAUUUGAUUACUUGUAACCUCAUCACGUUUUUAUGUUAUUCUCAUGGCUCCUGCACACUGGACGCGGAAACGCUUGCUGCGCGGCAAAACGAAACGCGAUAACCAAUGAACACAUUGGAGUUGUAAGCUUAUUGGCUAACGCAUCACAUUUUGCCGUGCAGCAAGCAUUUCCGCGUCCAGUGUACAGAAGCCAUUACACUUCCCGCUCAGUCACGAAAAACGAAGUCAUUGAAAAACUGAAUUUGAUGAUUAGCCACUAGCACUGAAAUUUAGGUUUGUGGAUUCAAAAUUGGAAUUCGAAUUCAAAUAUUAGAAACCAGACUUGAGAUCUGAAGAAGGAUGAAUUCGGAUCUAAAAUAUUAGUUAUUAUAUAACCAGUGUUGCCAGACAUGGCCCGCACUCGCGCAUGCGCGCAGUCUGAAGCGCCAGUAUCUAAUCCGUUCGUGGAACUAGCGUUUAGUCGCCUCAAAGAGAAAUAGAAUUACAGAUAUAAAGAAAUUAAAUAUAUCUGUUAUUGUGAGGAAUGAAACGUGAUAAAGUACAAGCCAGUAUUCUUGUUACGAAUUCCAUACUGAAAAGAGGUGAAAAGAUUCCCCAGUAGAAGAAUCUUAAAAUCAAGGAUAGUCUUUGAAUUGCGGAAUGUACUUUUGUAUCUUGUCUUUGAAUAUGGGUAUAGAGAUAUUUUAUCCAACAGAUUGUUGAAUAAUUGAAAAUCCAUUCUGAAGAAUCUGCAAAAAGAUUCUACAUCUUCAUAGAGUGCUAAAUAAACAGAUCUUCUUAAUUCGAA